GACGAACGCUGGCGGCGUGCUUAACACAUGCAAGUCGAACGGAAAGGCCCUGCUUUUGUGGGGUGCUCGAGUGGCGAACGGGUGAGUAACACGUGAGUAACCUGCCCUUGACUUUGGGAUAACUUCAGGAAACUGGGGCUAAUACCGGAUAGGAGCUCCUGCUGCAUGGUGGGGGUUGGAAAGUUUCGGCGGUUGGGGAUGGACUCGCGACUUAUCAGCUUGUUGGUGGGGUAGUGGCUUACCAAGGCUUUGACGGGUAGCCUGCCUGAGAGGGUGACCGGCGACAUUGGGACUGAGAUGAGGCCCAGACUCCUACGGGAGGCAGCAGUGGGGAAUAUUGAACAAUGGGCAGAACCAAGAGGCAGCAACGCCGCGUGGGGGAUGACGGCCUUCGGGUUGUAAACCGCUGUCGCAUGUGACGAAGCGUGAGUGACGGUAAUGGGUAAAGAAGCACCGGCUAACUACGUG
rnacentral:rRNA from 1 species